AGAGUUUGAUCCUGGCUCAGAUUGAACGCUGGCGGCAGGCCUAACACAUGCAAGUCGAGCGGAUGAGAAGAGCUUGCUCUUCGAGUUAGCGGCGGACGGGUGAGUAAUGCCUAGGAAUCUGCCUGGUAGUGGGGGACAACGUUUCGAAAGGAACGCUAAUACCGCAUACGUCCUACGGGAGAAAGCAGGGGACCUUCGGGCCUUGCGCUAUCAGAUGAGCCUAGGUCGGAUUAGCUAGUUGGUGAGGUAAUGGCUCACCAAGGCGACGAUCCGUAACUGGUCUGAGAGGAUGAUCAGUCACACUGGAACUGAGACACGGUCCAGACUCCUACGGGAGGCAGCAGUGGGGAAUAUUGGACAAUGGGCGAAAGCCUGAUCCAGCCAUGCCGCGUGUGUGAAGAAGGUCUUCGGAUUGUAAAGCACUUUAAGUUGGGAGGAAGGGCAGUAAGCGAA
rnacentral:rRNA from 1 species